UUCUAAGGGCGGUGAAGUCAGACCGGAAGGACUGGUGGAGCGCUUAGAAGUGAGAAUGCCGGUAUGAGUAGCGAAAGAAGGGUGAGAAUCCCUUCCACCGAAUAUCUAAGGUUUCCUGAGGAAGGCUCGUCCGCUCAGGGUUAGUCGGGACCUAAGCCGAGGCCGAUAGGCGUAGGCGAUGGACAACAGGUAGAGAUUCCUGUACCAGUGCUAAUUGUUUAACCGAUGGGGUGACACAGAAGGAUAGGGAAUCGCACGAAUGGAAAUGUGCGUCCAAGCAGUGAGUGUGAGAAGUAGGCAAAUCCGCUUCUCGCGAAGCAUGAGCUGUGAUGGGGAAGGAAAUUAAGUACGGAAGUUCCUGAUUUCACGCUGUCAAGAAAAGCCUCUAGGAAGAGUAGUACUGCCCGUACCGCAAACCGACACAGGUAGAUGAGGAGAGAAUCCUAAGGUGAGCGAGAGAACUCUCGUUAAGGAACUCGGCAAAAUGACCCCGUAACUUCGGGAGAAGGGGUGCUCUAUUAGGGUGCAAGCCCGAGAGAGCCGCAGUGAAUAGGCCCAGGCGACUGUUUAGCAAAAACACAGGUCUCUGCAAAACCGUAAGGUGACGUAUAGGGGCUGACGCCUGCCCGGUGCUGGAAG
rnacentral:rRNA from 1 species